rnacentral:rRNA from 1 species
UACGUAGGGUGCAAGCGUUGUCCGGAAUUAUUGGGCGUAAAGGGCUCGUAGGCGGUCCAUCGCGUCGGGAGUGAAAAGCUGGGGCUUAACCCCAGUCCUGCUUCCGAUACGGGUGGACUAGAGGUAGGUAGGGGAGAACGGAAUUCCUGGUGUAGCGGUGAAAUGCGCAGAUAUCAGGAAGAACACCCGUGGCGAAAGCGGCUCUCUGGAACGGUACUGACGCUGAGACGCGAAAGCGUGGGGAGCGAACAGG